UCGCCGCCCGCCUCAACACCGGCGGCACCGCCUCCCCAUACCCAUGCUAUGUCGCUUUCUCUACCAUUUGCAACGUCUAUCCGCGCUAGAGAUCUUGAUCCACGUUGGCUCUCCACAACCGGAACCAGUCUACACACAUGUGACUACACUAUCAGCCUCCAUGACCAGCCGCAACGCAUCCUCCAUCUAAUCUCUGUCAUGGAAGAUGUCGCCGCUAAUGUCUGCGAGGCCUUCAUCACAUACGGAGUCGGCGAUGCGUCCACAUUGAACUCCAGGCUGUAAGUUCCCCCGAUUUCUCGAUCCCCUUGUCAUAUCAAUAUCUCGGUUGCCAGUUAAUUUUUGUGAUUUGAGAGUUGACGCUCCGAUCCGGCUGAAAACCCCAGCUCUGGAAAUGAAUAUGCCGCACCAGGGCGUAAUCUCAGGGAAAUCGAUCGCCCCAGGGUUCCCACCGCGCCCGCGGGAGGCGCUCCUGCUGCCGGCGCGAAGCCCCUUGCACGAACUCAACGUCCCCUACGAGGCCAUGUUCGAGGAGUACACCACCCCAGCCGCCGACGUGCUGUUCCCACCGGUGAAGAAAUCUGGAUUAAAAAUGACUACUGAACAGAGUGAACUUGAAAGCAAAUGCAUCUAAACCUGGAUUAGAAAUAGUUACUGAUAUAGACUGGAGUAAUCAUUCACGAUGCUUUGCUCCACCAGCUCAUACCGUGCCAUUCUUCAGGUACAUAUUCCAAGAUAUGGGGUCGCUGACCGAAAGGACACACUAAACAACACGAGAAGAAGGCGAGAAGAAAAAGAGGCGAGCCCGUUUGUGCAGCCACCAUCACCGUGGAUGAAUGAGAGACCACUGGGUGUUGAUGUGAACGUUGGUAUGUGCCUAUGUUAUG